rnacentral:lncRNA from 1 species
AUUAAAUUCUAUAAGCUUUCCUUACCUCUAAUUCCAGCUAGGCUUCUAAGUCUCUUACGUCCACUACUUCUAUGACUCCCAAUCAAUUGCCUAAUCGGUGAAAACAUCCACCAUAGAAUCAAAUACACCAAAAACUAUUUCAGAGAAGGAUAAACGAUCACAUGCAAGCUGAAAACACUUGCAUGUUUAGAAAAAUGCAGAACUUCAAAGGAGAAGGAGAACGUG